CAGUCGCCGCGGUAAUACGAAGGGGGCUAGCGUUGUUCGGAUUUACUGGGCGUAAAGCGCACGUAGGCGGACUUUUAAGUCAGGGGUGAAAUCCCGGGGCUCAACCCCGGAACUGCCUUUGAUACUGGGAGUCUUGAGUUCGAGAGAGGUGAGUGGAAUUGCGAGUGUAGAGGUGAAUUUCGUAGAUAUUCGCAGGAACACCAGUGGCGAAGGCGGCUCACUGGCUCGAUACUGACGCUGAGGUGCGAAAGCGUGGGGAGCAAACAGGAUUAGAUACCCGAGUAGUCCCUGUCUCUUAUAC
rnacentral:rRNA from 1 species